UGAAAAUACUGCAAACAUUUCACCCUAAAAUUGGAACAGUNAAAAGAAAUCUGGUAAAUGGAGAUUAUUGCAAGAUUUAAGAGCCAUUAAUAAUGAGAUGGUUAUUAUGGGACCUGCUCAAUCAGGGAUUCCUCAGUUGUCUGCUUUGCCAAAAACCUGGUAUGUUUUAGUUAUAGAUAUUAAAGAUUGUUUUUUUUCAAUUCCAAUUCAUCCUGAGGAUAGUCCACGUUUUGCAUUUAC
rnacentral:sRNA from 1 species